CAAGUCGAACGAAGUAGCAAUACUUAGUGGCAGACGGGUGAGUAACAUGUAGGUAUCUGCCCUUUGGCCUGGAAUAACACGAGGAAACUUGUGCUAAUACCGGAUAAGUCUUUACGGAGAAAGCUUUAUGCACCAUUGGAUGAGCCUGCACUUGAUUAGUUUGUUGGUAGGGUAAUGGCCUACCAAGACUGUGAUCAAUAGCUGAUUUGAGAGGAUGAUCAGCCACAUUGGGACUGAGACACGGCCCAAACUCCUGCGGGAGGCAGCAGUGGGGAAUCUUGCACAAUGGAGGAAACUCUGAUGCAGCGAUGCCGCGUGAGUGAAGAAGGCCUUUGGGUUGUAAAGCUCUUUCGUCGGGGAAGAAAAUGACUGUACCCGAAUAAGAAGGUCCGGCUAACUUCGUGCCAGCAGCCGCGGUAAUACGAAGGGACCUAGCGUAGUUCGAAAUUACUGGGCUUAAAGAGUUCGUAGGUGGUUGAAAAAGUUGGUGGUGAAAUCCCAGAGCUUAACUCAGGAACUGCCAUCAAAACUUUUCAGCUAGAGUAUGAUAGAGGAAAGCAGAAUUUCUAGUGUAGAGGUGAAAUUCGUAGAUAUUAGAAAGAAUACCAAUUGCGAAGGCAGCUUUCUGGAUCAUUACUGACACUGAGGAACGAAAGCAUGGGUAGCGAAGAGGAUUAGAUACCCUCGUAGUCCAUGCCGUAAACGAUGUGUGUUAGACGUUGGAAAUUUAUUUUUCAGUGUCGCAGCGAAAGCGAUAAACA
rnacentral:rRNA from 1 species